rnacentral:lncRNA from 1 species
AAAAAACCUACCGAAAACCUACCUAUGCACACACAACCAUCAGUCGUUAAUAAAAAGGGGCUAGACCAAAACAGUGCUAUACAAUCCGCUUUUUCUUAUCUUCAGAAUAUCAACACACACACAAUUAUUGAACUCGAAGAAAUUGACGGUGAAUCAAUUGAGGAUAUGAUGAAUAUCCAAUAAAUUCCUUCUCCUCUCCUAGCUUAUUGACCUCAUUACUAAGUAAUGGCCCUUAUCAUUCUUUCAUACAUUAAUACCACACAUAGACAUAAACAGAGGGGGAAACGGAAUAGAAUAGGAGAUUGAGAAUAGGGGAUUAGAUCUUAGACUGAACGAAAACAGUGAGAAAGAGGGGAAACGAAAAGCAGAAUCACAAAAUUAUUGGGGGAAAAUCUCCAAUCUCGCCCCGCAGCCCGAUGUUUGCAUUCCAGUCGAGUUGGGUCUGUUCAGUUCCGUUCGAGAUUCCGACGAGUUUCCGGCGCUGCUACGUUACUUGUUCUUUCCGUCAAUUAGCAUUUUCAGAUUGUAAGUCAUUUUAAUUUAAGAUUAAUAGAGGUUUAUCUUUUCUUCUCCCUCUAUUUCAUAUGUUAUUCUUAUGUGAUUAGUUCUGUGAAGAAUUGGAUUUCAUGGUCGUUUUCUUUGUGUUCACCACUGCACCACCCCUAAGUUUUCAUUUGUAAUUUCCUUUAUUUGUCCGUUGAUUAGUGCUUGUUUGGUUAUGAUGCCGAAUCUGGUUCUGGCUUUAAAUCAUUGGCUUAAAGUAAUGUUGUUAAUGAGUAUUUGUAUAUAUGUGUUUGACAAAUUUGAGUUGAUAUGCUUCAUUUUCAUGAAUGUUUGUUUUAUAAUAACAUACAUUAUCAGUAGUAUAUGCCUUAACUAUUGAUGUUUGGUUGUUACUGUGAAUUAACUUUCCUAUAUGGAAUCAAAAUAGCAUAUGCCUUAACUUUUAAUUCUUUUGUAAGAAGUGGUUAUUCUUUAAAUAGAUGUCUUAGGCUAUUUCUGCACUUAGCCAUGUUGAUAUAGAGAAAAUUUCAACGCCUUUCAUAACAGUUUGUCUCUUUUGCAAUCUUUGAUAUGAUAUAAGAAGCUGAAUGUUAGUGGAAAUGCUCUAGGCACGUUUAAUCUGUGAUUGUGUACGUGUUCGCGUGACAUAAUUACAAUUUAAAAAAUUAAUUCGGAGUAUGCGUUCGCGGAACUUCGAUCAAACCUUUCUUAAUAGUAAAUUUGUUAUUAAUAUAGUCCUAUUUAAUUAAUUUUGGUUCAUAUAGUCCGAGGCAUGCCGUGCCAAAUGAAAUCUUAAAAUGCAUGGCCCUCAUAUAAAUUCCACACCCUAGAUAUAAAAACGAUAAAUGUUUGUAGUUUGCUUUAGACACGUCUAAUAUACUAUCGUGGUUGUGGACACGUUCGCAUGAUAUGAUUACGAUUUCUAAAAACAAAACAAGUGUAUGCGGUUGUGCAACUUUGGUCAAAUUUUUCUAAUUAUAAUAAAGUGUUAUUAAUUCGGGGCACGUUUGCAUGACAUGAUUUUCGACACACCAAACAAAUGGGUACACACGCAUGUGACCCGUUUCAAGAUAAUUUUCUUAACUUAAAAGCGGUCAAAGAUAAAUGCACGUAGUUUCUAAAAUCAGUAAUUAAACAAUUUGAUUAAACCAAGUAUGAUCAAAACGACCGUGCUAGUAUCAGGAACUAGGAAUGCCUAACACCUUCUCCCAGGUUAAAAAAUUUCCUUACCUACAUUUCUGUGUUCGCAGACUGUAAAACAAAGUCAACCUUUUCCUUGAUUCGGGAUUUGAACAGGUGACUUGGGACACCAUGAAUUAUCUCAAGUGGAGACUAAAUUUAAUUAAUAAAUAAUUCCAUUUUGAUAAUCACUUUAAGUUUGAAAAAACUCCCUCAUAUUCCCCUUUCGGGGUUGUGUGAAAAAAGAGGUGUGACAUAUAUGCUUGUAUUGCUUAUUUGCAGGUAAACCGGCGAGCAACGACCAUUACGACAAGGGCGAUUUUGCUCCAGUUCCCAGAGCCCUUCUAGCCCUUAACCAUUCAUUCUACCUGAAUAUUGCGUCUGUCCUUGAAAAGGUCUCCAUAGGCAUACUCCGCCGAGGGAUCUUGA